rnacentral:rRNA from 1 species
UACGUAGGGGGCUAGCGUUGUCCGGAAUCAUUGGGCGUAAAGAGCGUGUAGGCGGUCCGGUAAGUCCGCUGUGGAAAGUCGGGGGCUCAACCCUCGAAUGCCGGUGGAUACUGUCGGGCUAGAGUGCGGAAGAGGCGAGUGGAAUUCCUGGUGUAGCGGUGAAAUGCGCAGAUAUCAGGAGGAACACCUAUUGCGAAGGCAGCUCGCUGGGACGUAACUGACGCUGAGACGCGAAAGCGUGGGGAGCAAACAGG